rnacentral:tRNA from 1 species
AGUUUUAUAUUUAAUAUAUAAUAUUAAAUUGCAAAUUUAAAGUAAUAAAUAUUUUUUAUUAAAACUU